CCAUCGUCUUCUUCCCUUCGCUCUUCUCCCUUCUGUACCUGUACACCGAGGAUUUGCAAGCUAGGGUUAGCGAUUUGCUUCAUCGCCUCUCUCUCCUCCACCUCCCCCUCUGCUGGGCCACUCUGACCUUCUCCCUACUGUAUUUUGUACCUAAUUCCAGCUCUGUACAAGCGCCCCCUCUCCCCUGAAACGACCGCGCCACCGACGAGCGCUUACAUGUAGCGCCGCCAUGCUGUAGGUCUGGGCAACAUUGACCCAGCCAUCGCAAAGCCGGCCAUCUUCUGCAGCUUAAAGUAUCCAGGGUAUGAUCUCUUAUUGAGUUAUCCAAAUAUUAUGUUUCCUCCCAUCUGUCAAUUUCCCCCAAUUGCAGCAAUGGUGUAGCAAACAGGCAAAUAGAUGUGCUCGUUGUUCCCAUACUUAAUUUGUAAACAAUUUUCAUAUCUCCUGCAGCCUAUAAAGUAAGAUUUGUGCAUGAAUGUUAUGACUUGUAUGUGAAAAAGCGAGUUAGCGUACAUGUCUGGAGUAGAAUAUACUUUGAAGUGUCUUAUUUUGAUUCACUUUGUUGAUCGUAAAAUGAAACUGCACUUUAAUGUCCAAUUGAACUUUCUGAAUUCAUUACUAGUUCUUCUUAUUCAUGCCUUUUUUCUUUGUUGCAAUCCACAUUCAAACAAUUCUUUAAAAUAACAAUACUGAUCUAGCGUACAUGCCUGGAAUCAUCUCACAAAUUUUUGAUACAUGUAAUUGUAGUACAUGUGAAUUUUACUUGUAGAUGUACUCUGACCGACCUGUGCCUAUGGCUAUCGCUAUUUUUGUUCAACUGUUUCUGAACUAAGUCCGAUGCUCGCAACCGAGAAAUCACACUUUCAGGUUUCAUUCUAAUAAAUGAAAGCAAGGGGUGUAUCCCUUUUCUCUACAAGAAAAUAUGAUUCUUCACUUGAUUUAUAACAAUUUCAGGUUAGUUGUAGUCCCCUUCUUUUAAUUUUUUCUGUACCUCAUGUACUUGCAG
rnacentral:lncRNA from 1 species